rnacentral:rRNA from 1 species
AGAGUUUGAUCAUGGCUCAGGAUGAACGCUGGCGGCGUGCCUAACACAUUCAAGUCGAACGAAGCAUAUUGGAACGAGACUUCGGUCAAGGGAAGGUAUGACUUAGUGGCGGACGGGUGAGUAACGCGUGAGCAACCUGCCUCGGGGUGCGGGAUAACGUUUGGAAACGAACGCUAAUACCGCAUGACGCACGGACAUCACAUGGUGACUGUGCCAAAGAUUUAUCGCCCUGAGAUGGGCUCGCGUCCGAUUAGACGGUUGGCGGGGUAACGGCCCACCAAAUCUACGAUCGGUAGCCGGACUGAGAGGUUGAACGGCCACAUUGGAACUGAGAUACGGUCCAGACUCCUACGGGAGGCAGCAGUGGGGAAUAUUGGGCAAUGGGCGAAAGCCUGAACCCCCAGCGACGCCGCGUGAGGGAAGAAGGUCUUCGGAUUGUAAACCUCUUUCAGCAGGGAAGAAGCAAGUGACGGUACCUGCAGAAGAAGCCACGGCUAACUACGUGCCAGCCGCCGC